GGUGGCUUCUCUCCCUUAGGUGGUUUGCCAACUGGGGUUGGUGGCUUGUAUGAGUCUUCAGCAUUCUCAGCAGGAGGGUGACCAGGGUUGUGACCAUAAUGUGGUGGCUUCUCUCCCUUAGGUGGUUUGCCAACUGGGGUUGGUGGCUUGUGUUCUGGGAGUGGCUUCUCCCCCUUGGGAGGUUUUUCCAAUGGGGUUGGUUUGUGUUCAGGAGGUGGCUUCUCCACUGGAGGCUUGUGUUCAGGAGGUGGCUUCUCCACCGGAGGCUUGUGUUCAGGUGGUGGCUUCUCCACCGGAGGCUUAUGCUCUGGUGGUGGCUUCUCGAAUGGGGGAUGCUUAGGAUAAUCAGCAAGUGAGGGGGCGGUGAGAACCACCAGGCCAAGCAACACCACUAGCAAAUAUGUAGGAGACAUCUUUGGGUUUGGGCUCAGAUGGUGCAAAACUAGGAGAAUUGGCUAGCCUUUUAUAGCGGAUCGUACCCAAUAAUGAAAUGACACGUGUCAUUAUGACCCAUGUGUAAUGGGGUCGAUUUGGGUCCUACAGUGUUGAAAACUUCGACAUCCACUUUUGGCCUUUUGCUUUCUCUACAGCCGCCUUGCUUUUUCCCUCUUUCCUUUUGUUUUCCUCCUGCCCCAUUCUAUCAACUAAACACAAUUAUGUAGUUGUUUAAUUCUUAAAUGAGAUAUUAUCCGUCAAUCGUAUUAUAUUUUAUCAAGAGAGAACGGAGUGCAAUGUGGCUGUAAUUUUAUCGUUUAGUUUUAUCUCUUGGACCACUGCAUUUUUGUUAAGAGGUGCAAUAAUACACGUCUUUAUCUGCCAUUCAAUAUUUACAGUAAAGAGAGGGCACAAAACUCUUCACUUCGCACCAUAAUUAUUUUGUUUUCUGGACACCCCGGGGCCCUUUGGUUGGUUUGGGGGUCAGAAAGUGAACAUCAUAGGGGGUUUUUCCCUUAUGUGCAUUUGUAUCUGAUGGCUUUAACUCGCCUUGUUACUACAAAGAAACUGUCACAGAUAGGAACUUAUUCCAGGCUGAGUAUCUCCUCAUAGACCCUAUAAAAGAAGACAAGUCAUAAUGAACAUCUAACCUUUGUUCAAUUUGAUUCAAUGCCCCCAUUGUGUCCAUCUCACAAAUCUGAAUUAUUAUAUCCAUUGAAUACAUAAAUUAAUGAAGAAAAUAUGAAACCCAAGAUACAUCUCUGCACAACCUCAACCCUGGUUGCUAUGUUUCCCUUCUAUUCACAUGAUUUGAUGCUAAUUGCCAAACUUGCAACAAGCCCUGAGUUUGACACCUAGUAUCGAUGGGCGAAUUUAAAGUCUCCUCCAAACAUAUAUUCCACAGCUUGAAGCUCACAGAAGAUGUUACAGGCAGGGAAAAACCUUCAGAGUUCGCUACCAAAGAUAAUUAUUAAGGAGAUAUCACAAAGAGAAUUCCAAGGGGUCUGAAUCAAAGACAAAUUGGUCGUUCGUGGGGGUUCUUACUUUCUUUUGGGUAUAACUCACUGAGGGCACUGUCUUUGUUAUUUGCAUUUCACAUUUAGAGUUCUGUUCUGGAAACAUAUAAAAGGAGCAUCAUUUUGUUCUUGGGUAACCCAUAGUCGUGAGUGGGUCCAUUUGCAUGCUACUUAGUUGAAAAGUUGGACCAUUUGCUCCGACGCCUACCUCCCGGAUUCCAUGCUCGGAUAAAACAAGAAUAAAAAAAAUAUUUAUAAUUUACAAAUGGGGGAAAGAAAAAAAUGUCAACAACAAACCAGGAAAAAAGAGUAGUAAAAUUCAUGUCACAUGCUAGUGAGAGAAGGGGUUGUUACACUCACUCGAAGUUCUUUCCAAAAUAUCGCAUGGUAUUUUAUUUUAUGUGUCAGCGCAGUUGUGAAUGGAACGUGCAAAAGUCCAAAUUGGCGUUUUUCCUUUUCCCGUGUAGGAUGGCGACCUUUAAUAAAUAUUUAAAACAAAAAACGAAAAAAAGGAGGGAAAAGGGAUCAGAAAAGAUAAAACAAUGUGUACAAGAGCUCAAUUAGUUUGCAAAUUACUGUUUGGAUUUUGAUAGUAUUUUAUUUGUCCAUCUAUAUUUGAUGGAAAAGAGAAUUUAAGAUAUUUCUGAAACAAAAGCAUUAGUGUAAAACUAAAUUAAGGUAUAAUUAAGUUAGUUCAAUGCAUUAAUUUAAGAAACUUGAUCUAUCCAAAGUACAAAAUUAGAUGAAAUCCAUUUCAAUGGUUAAAAUGAUCAAAAUCAAACUUUUUCUAAGUAUUUUUUAAAAGCAUCAAUAUUAAAAGACAAUUUUAUAUUUAGUCGGAGUUUGGACAAAACCAAAAAGCACACAAAAUCCAAGCGACCAUCUCUAGCUUGGAUAGUCACUUGAUCCCACCUAGAGAUGUGCAUGAGUAAAAGGAUUUGAAAAUGGAAAUUGACUAAAUAUUUAGUUGAUCAAUUAAAUUUGCAAUGUCAUAUGCAAUCCUAAUAGCUAGUCAUCUAAUCAAUUAGGUAGUCAAUCAAGUGUUUGUAAUGACUAUUUUGUACAAAAAACCACAUGUAUAGUUAAAUAUAAUGCAUUUCAUUUAUAAAUCUUCUAAUUCUUGAAUAACGAUCCUAUCAUCCUUUGAAAAUUUUUAUUACACCUUUUUUACUUUUGUUCUAAAACUUACAUAUCACCCUUAAUUGUACCAUGAGAACCUAGCUAUUUUUUUUUUUUUUGUAAUUCAUCAAAGUUAGCUUUUGUAUUCAUUGUUGUAUUAUUUUUAGUAUAACUUAGAAAGCUAGUGUUUUCAAGUGAGUAAAAUUAACUUGUAAAUAUUGUAAAGAUUCAUUGAUAUGUAUCUUAAACUAAGUGUACAAAUUAAAACAUUUGCUAGUAGAUUUUCUCAAAAUUUAGAAUAGAGCUUGAGGCUAUUGAAAUAGGUGGGGUUACACCAAACCACAUCACAUCGUUGUUUGCACCUUUUUUCACUCUCUUUUACUUAGUUUCUCUAUAUUUGUUGUCUAGUAAUAUCCUAUAGGCUUGAUGGGUUAGGGAGCAUCCCUUUGUGAAAAAAUUUCAUUCAAUUCUUAGUUGUAUUACGCAUAUAUAAAAUGCCUCAUUGUUUUAAUGGUAUUCAGUCGUGGCAUCACAGAUAUGGGCAUCUAAAUUUUAAAAGUUUGAAACUUUUGUAAAGCAUGUUGAUAAAAUCCAUGAGAGUUGUGUACUUGGGAAGCAACAUCGAGGUGACUUUAUUUUUUUUUCCUUUUAUAAUGCCACACCUAAGUCCGGUUUCUAAAUGCUAAAGUGAAAGGGUAGGUAUGGACCAUUGAAAUGUGAUCACAACUUUUGGCCUUUUCCUUUCUCUGCAGCCAUGUUGUCUCUUUUUUCUUUUGCAUGAUUUUCUUACCAAAACAGAAUCAUAGACUUGUUUAGUCUCUAAGCUACUAUAUUAUAUCUCGGUGGACUUUUAAGAGUGCAACCGACAUAGAGCACAUGCAAGUGGGCAUAUGGGACAUGAAAUUUCUUCUUACAAAGAUUGCAUGAUUUUUAUAUUAGAGUUGUUCACGUGCAAUGUAUUUAGCUUGUUUUGCAGUUAAAUUAAUUGGAUAAGUAAACAUUGGCAUUUCUAAAUCGACUGUGAAGUGCUUCAUGUACGUGUAAAGUAUUAGAAAUUUCUUUCUUGGCAACUUGUUUUUUCCUUGCCAUCUACUGGUAGGUUUGACUAAAAUUAUAUUCCCUGUCAUGCUAAUUAAUUUUCAUGUGCAUGCUCAAAAGAAGAGUAUGACCUUAGUGCACCAAAAUCACUUUGAUUAAUUUGUGAUAGGUUUUUUUGCAUCAUUUAGAUAAUGUUUAGUUCUAAGAAAAAUUUAUAUAAAAAUGGUUUAUUUAUCUUACAUAUAUAUAUAUAUAUAUAUAUUUUUUUUUUUUUCAUUUUUUUUUCUUCUAUUUUAUUUAUUUAUUUUAUUUUCCUUAUGUUUUCCUCACAUUUUCCGGAACUAAACAUAGUCUUACGAAAUCAACAAUUGCCUUCAACUGAGUAGAUUCUGUUGUUUUAGCAAUGUUAGGCUGCUAACUUGUGGUGGUACGAACCAAAUGACCCAUGUUAAUCUUGGCUUGGUUUGAUUUGGCUCUAUCUCAGAGAGCUAAAGGAUCACGUCAACUCUGGUUUCUACUAUUCAGGUCCAUUCCCAGAUGAACUGGUUCAAAUUUGAGAAAAUGGUAACAGACCUUUAGUGAUGUUGGUUUGGAGCCAGUUGCCAAACCCGCCCUGAGCUUUACCACUAAUGUCAAGGGAGAAAGCCAUUUGAACAAAAACAAUAGCUUCAAGAGACUGAAUCGUGGAUGAAAUCUGAUCCACAUUUCUUCUCAUUUUGGGAAAAAAUGAGAACUUAACUACAAAGAUUCUACUGCCUCAUUCAUAGUGCUUUUCCUGAUCCAAGGUUGGUUCGUUUCCCAAAUUGUGAGGUGCACGUGCCACUCUCACGCUCAGGAGUGUAUCCACGUGGUGGACAUCAGAUGGUGGCUUAAUAUCUGGUGUCGGUGGCUUUACUUUACUAGGAGAGUAGUGUGUCUUCAUCUCAUUCACUGCCGGAGGGUGGCGUAAGCAGUGACGCUAAGGUGGGGCACAGUCAAUAUCAUUUGCAUUUGACCAUUAUAGUUUUCUCCCGGCUUGAAAGUAACCUUAUCGUGAUAAAGGAUUACUAGCACUAGUUCAGAUGACCGUCAUGUUAAUUCGGACCAUGUUUGUGUCACAUUAUCAGCAACCAUGUGUUUAUGGUUCAUGCUAUCUGCAACUAAACUUGAUAUAUAACCAGGUGAACUUCAAUCAAAAUUCUGGAAGUACUCUUGUGAUAGAUGGUGCCUGUCUGCAGAGUCCAUCAAUUGAAAAAUGGAGUGAGUGUAUCUAUAAGAGGGAAGGCUUGGCAAAUGUUCAGUUUUCUGGGAAUUCAACAAGGAUCUAAAAUAGAUUGUUUUCUUUGCCGACUUCAAUGGUUGAAAUUUGAGAAGAUUGUGUCCACAUAUCACAACUAUUACUGGUCCUUCUGUUGCAAUUUAUCCUGUAAGGCUCUAACAUGUCUUCCAAUUCCCACUUCCCUGUUACUCCAGGAAAGCUAUUUCUGUCAUUGUGAAGAAGAAAAGAGAAUGUACAUAUCGAUGCUUUUAAGUGACUGGAGCAUUCAUAUCAGGUGGUCUGCAGCCAUAUAUGCCACUUUGUGAAGGUUGGAACAGUCAAUCACUAGGCUAUAUAUUGGUGUGGCCCAGCCACUUCAAUCAAGGACAAGUCUUCAUACUUAAAGUCAAAUUCUGCCUUUAGUCUCAUUAUAAAUUGCUGUUUAAAUAUUAAGCAAACUUUUGUUUAAUGCGAUUAAGACAGUACUAACUCAAUACUUGUUCUAUUUUUGGAUGCAAAUGCUUGAUGGUUUCAUCAUUGGAUGGGAUAAAGGUGCAUUCAUGAUUAUGAAUACUUGUAGUUAUAUUUUCAUUCUCUUUUUUCUCAAUGAGACUUGUUGGCACAAUGUUGCUGUUCAGAAACCUACCUCUCCAUGGAAAAUAAGUUGCGAUUGAUAGUACUGGAUAUGUUCAAGAAAGCUAAAUAUAGAUAGCACAAAAUAUUAUCGAUAUAAAUAGCAUUAACAGCGUACGUAUGUCUCAAUGCUCAUCAGCUAUAAGCAUGGGACAAACACUUACUAUGAGCAACUUACGUCAAAAUUCCAGAAUAGGACAUAGAAGUGACAGAUCUAUAUAUAUAGAACACUGCAUAUGAGUCACAAGAAAGGAAAUUACGGGUGCAUAGCAGCUCUUAUUUUACAUACUACUACUCAUACUGAUCAAAGUCACUCAGUUGGGAUGGGUGGGAGUAGGAGGUUUGUGGGGUGGCUUGUGCGGAGGAGUUGGCAGCUUCUUUCCAGGACCUGGUUGCUUCUCUGCUGGAGUUGAAGGAGGCUUAAUCUUCCGAGGUGGCUUGUAUGAGUCUUCAGCAUUCUCAGCUGGAGGGUGACCAGGGUUGUGACCAUAAUGUGGUGGCUUCUCUCCCUUAGGUGGUUUGCCAACUGGGGUUGGUGGCUUGUAUGAGUCUUCAGCAUUCUCAGCAGGAGGGUGACCAGGGUUGUGACCAUAAUGUGGUGGCUUCUCUCCCUUAGGUGGUUUGCCAACUGGGGUUGGUGGCUUGUGUUCUGGGAGUGGCUUCUCCCCCUUGGGAGGUUUUUCCAAUGGGGUUGGUUUGUGUUCAGGAGGUGGCUUCUCCACUGGAGGCUUGUGUUCAGGAGGUGGCUUCUCCACCGGUGGCUUGUGUUCAGGAGGUGGCUUCUCCACCGGAGGCUUAUGCUCUGGUGGUGGCUUCUCCACCGGAGGCUUAUGCUCUGGUGGUGGCUUCUUGAAUGGGGGAUGCUGAGGGUAAUCAGCAAGUGAGGGGGCGGUGAGAACCACCAGGCCAAGCAACACCACUAGCAAAUAUGUAGGAGACAUCUUUGGGUUUGGGCUCAGAUGGUGCAAAACUAGGAGAAUUGGCUAGCCUUUUAUAGCGGAUCGUACUCAAUAAUGAAAUGACACGUGUCAUUAUGACCCAUGUGUAAUGGGGUCGAUUUGGGUCCUACAGUGUUGAAAACUUCGACAUCCAGUUUUGGCCUUUUGCUUUCUCUACAGCCGCCUUGCUUUUUCCCUCUUUCCUUUUGUUUUCCUCCUGCCCCAUUCUAUCAACUAAACACAAUUAUGUAGUUGUUUAAUUCUUAAAUGAGAUAUUAUCGGUCAAUCGUAUUAUAUUUUAUCAAGAGAGAACGGAGUGCAAUGCAGCUGUAAUUUUAUCGUUUACUUUUAUCUCUUGGACCACUGCAUUUUUGUUAAGAGGUGCAAUAAUACACGUCUUUAUCUGCCAUUCAAUGUUUACAGUAAAGAGAGGGCACAAAACUCUUCACUGCUCUGCAUGUGUCCCAAAAAUGCGAUUGGACAAAUUAUGAUUUGCAUGCUAAAAAGAGGCAAAUGAGGUUAAUUCGCACCAUAAUUAUUUGGUUUUCUGGACACCAUAAAAAGAUGUUAUACAGGCAGGGAAAAACCUUCAGAGUUAGCUACCAAAGAUAAUUAUCAAGCAGAUAUCACCAAGAGAAUUCCAUAGAGUCUGAAUCAAAGACAGAUUGCUCGCUCGUGGGGGUUCUUACUUUCUUUUGGGUAUAACUCACUGAGGUCACUGUCUUUUUUAUUUGCAUUUCACAGUUAGAGUUCUGCUCUGGAAGGUUUGUUCUGGAAACAUAUAAAAGGAGCAUCAUUUUGUUCUUGGGUAACCCAUAGUCGUGAGUGGGUCCAUUUGCAUGCUACUUAGUUGAAAAGUUGGACAAUUUGCUCCGACGCCUACCUCCUGGAUUCCAUGCUCGGUAAAACAAGAAUAAAAAAAAAUAUAUAAUUUACAAAUGGGGGAAAGAAAAAAUGUCGGAAAAAAUAGUAAAAUUCAUGUCACAUGCUAGUGAGAGAAGGGGUUGUUACACUCACUCGAAGUUCUUUUCAAAAUAUCGAAUGGUAUUUUACUUUAUGUGUCAGCGCAGUUGUGAAUGGAACGUGCAAAAGUCCAAAUUGGCGUUUUUAUUUUUCCCAUGUAGGAUGGUGACCUUUAAUAAAUAUUUAAAACAAAAGACGAAAAAAAAAAGGAGGGAAAAGGGAUCACAAAAGAUAAAAUAAUGUUUACAAAAGCUCAAUUAGUUUGCAAAUUACUGUUUGGAUUUUGAUAGUAUUUUAUUUGUCGUUCUAUAUUUGAUGUAAAAGAGAAUUUAAGAUAUUUCCGAAGCAAAAGCAUUAGUUUGCUCUGUGAUGUCCCACAUCGAAUAGGGGAGAAAGUUUCUGGCGCUAUAUAUGUAGAGGCUCCUCUUAACCAAGUAGAUGCGUUUUAAAACCAUGAGGGCCCCCUUAGGUCCAAAGCGGACAAUAUCUACAUGAUUGGGUGUAAGUCAUUACAAAUGGUAUCAGAGCCGAUCCCCGACCCCGGUGUGGGGGUUUGUUUGGCCCUGUAAGGGGUGUUUGUCUGUUUGACCCCACAAUCCCAUGGGACACAACGAGGACGUUGUGUCUGCAUGGGGGGGCGUUUGUGAUGUCCCACAUCGGAUAGGGGAGAAAGUUCCUAGUGCUAUAUAUGUAGAUGUUUCUCUUAACCAAGUAGAUGCAUUUUAAAAUUGUGAGGGCCUCUUUGGGCCCAAAGCGGACAAUAUCUACAUGGUUGAGUGUAAGUCAUUACAUGCUCCAUGUCAAUUUCAGCAUUUCUCAUAUGUUUCACACAUACACAGAAGAGCAUCGUUUUUUAAAGCAUGCAUUUAUGUUGGAUUAAUUUGGAUUUUGUGGGAACUGGGGCAAGGAUCACAUGGAAGAGAGGUUGACUUUUUUCAGUACUUCAAUGGUUGAAAUAUGUGAAGGCUUGAUUGAUACUAAAGCUUGAAAUUGCGACUCUGUCAUUUGUAAAAAAAUAUGACAGCUUCCAUGCUCUCGUUUGGUUGCAUUGUCCGGUCGAGAGGUGCAAAAAGCAUUCUCUCUCUUCUAAUAGUCUUUUCGUUUAAAUCAAGGGAUUUGCCUUCCCGGUCGAGGUCCAAUAGAGGGUAACGGUCACCUACUAAACAUUAAAUGCUCCAACAACUAGUGAACUGAUCGACCCCAGCUCGACUAGUUGAGGUUACUUUUUGGUUUUCUUGUCUCCCGAGGUUAGAAACCUAUAAAUAGAGAGCUUCACUUCAUUUAUGAGUAAGAGAACACCUAAAUUUAUUUGUUUACCUACUUGUUUUUGCCAUAAAAGCUCUCAUUUCUUUUCUUGGUGUAUUAAAUCUCCAUUUGCAUAUCCUUUAGUGCACCUUUGUGAUUCAUUCUAGCCUUGAGUUGUAUUUAAGCCUUUGUUGAGCUAGGUUGAGAGUUUCAUACUUGUUUAUUGAGUGUUAAAGCCUUCAAGUGAGUUAAAACUUGAAGAGAUUGUGUAAGAGCCCAUUGGAGUCGGAAUCCAAGUGUAAAGGUGAUUAAAAGCUUGGUUGAAGCUUCAAGUUAGUGGAACUCUCACUCGGUUAUGAGCUUGAGAAGAGUGGACAUAGACAAGGCAGUGUCGAACCACUAUAAAAUCUGAGUUUGAUUUCUCUAACCUUAUCUCUUUAUAUUUGCUUCUCUUGUGCUUAAAUUUUUUGUGUUUAAAAAGAAUUUUUAAAAACUCAAUUCACCCCCUUCUUGGGAGUUUUUCUCUUUUAAGAUCAGCUUUUAUUUUCUCAAUUGGUAUCAGAACUAUGCCUCUUGUUUAAGACUUAAUCGUCUAAGAGGAAAUGGCUAAUCCAUCAAGUUCAUCUCACAUUGAAAGUUUUGCAACCAAUAGACUUCUUUUUUUUUUUUUGCGGGAACUGAUUAUCCCUAUUGGAAAACUAAAAUGACUUGGUUUUUACAAUCAAUUGAUUUAGAUGUAUGAGAUGCCAUUGAAGAUGACCUAACUUUUCCUUCAAAACUAGUUGAUGGAGUCAUGGUUCCAAAACCUAAGCAAGAAUGGGAUGAGCGUGAUUGAAGAAAUUUUCAAUUAAAUGCUAAAGUCGUUUAUACUUUGCAAUGCUCUAUGGACAGAAAUGAAUAUAAUAGAAUAUGUCAAUGCAAAUCGGUUAAAGAAAUUUGGAGAUUGCUUGAAAUAACUCAUAAAGGAACAAAUCAAGUUAAAGAGUCAAAAAUCAAUUUACUUGUUCAUAGAUAUGAAUUGUUUUUUAUGAAAGAUAAUGAAACUAUUGUUAAGAUGAUCACUAGGUUCACCAACAUUGUUAAUGGUCUUAAAGCCUUGGGAAAGACCUACAAGGAAUCCGAAAACGUGAUGAAGAUCUUGAGGUCACUUCCAUCAAAGUGGCAUACCAAGGUCACCGCAAUUUAAGAAGCAAAAGACUUGAUCAAGCUACCUUUGGAGGAGUUCAUAGGGUCAUUGAUGACAUAUGAAAUCAAUUUGGCAAAGAAGUAACAAAAAGGUGAAGACAAAAAGAAGAAGAACAUAACUCUCAAAGCUACAACUAAGGAAGAAGAAGUUGAAGAAGAAAAACAAAUUGAAGAAGAUGAAGAUUUAGCCCUCAUCACAAGAAAGUUCAACAAAUUCAUGAGGGGUGAAAGGUUUAGAAGAAGAAGGUUCACUUCUAGAAGAGACUUUUCUAAAAAGGAAUCUUCAUCUAAUGGUGACAAAAAGAGAUGGGAAGAGAAAAGAGACUUGGUGUGUUUCAAGUGCAAGAAACCGGGACACAUUAAAUAUGAUUGUCCUCUCUACAAAAGUGAAGUCAAGAGGAAAAAGAAUAAGGCAAUGAUGGCCACUUAGAGUGAAAGUGAAGAUGAAUCAUCCGAAGAAGAAAAUGAGAAAGAAGUGGCAAACAUGUGUUUCAUGGCAAUAGAUGAACUUGAUGAGGUAAAAUCUAACCUUAGUGAUUAAGAUAUACAUGAUGCAUUUGAAGAAUUGUAUGAGGAUUUUUAAAAACUUAGUUUGAAAAAUAUUUCUCUUAAAAAGAAAGUUCAACAACUUGACAAAGAACUUAGAGAAGUAAAAGAAAAAUUUUCAAAUGUUAAAGUUUCUAAAACUCAUCUUGAAAAAGAAAAUGAGAUUCUAAGAAAGAAAAAUGAAUAGUUGAACUCCUCUCUUUCAAUCUUUUCUUCUAGACAAAAAUCUUUUGAAAUGAUUCUAACUAGCUAAAAAUGUGUUUUUGACAAACAAGGGUUAAGAUUUAAAUCUUCAAAAAAUCAAAAGUAUUUUAAAAACUAUUUUGUAAAGGAAUCCACAAGUGCAAGUCCUUCCACUACUUGCAACUUUUGUGGAAGAGAAUGGCACAUUAGUAGUACGCCCUUUAAGAAAUGGUUCUCAAAAGAAUUUAAAUGCAAAAACUAAAAAAGAUUUGGAUUGAGAAAUCCAAGGUCACUAACCCUCAAGGACCCAAAAAGAUAUAGGUACCUAAAUCAACUUGAGUUUUAUGUUGUAAGGUUCAAAGAAUGAUAAGUGGUUCUUAGAUAAUGGUUGCUCAAGACACAUGACCGGAGAUGAAUCCAAGUUUGCUUUUCUUAAAAAGAAAAAUGGAGGAUAUGUUACCUUUGGAGACAAUGCAAAAGAAAGGAUGAUUGGUCAAGGCAACAUUGGUAAUGGCACAUCCUCUCUCAUUGAAAGUGUUUUAUUAGUAGAUGGUUUCAAACAUAACCUUUUAAGCAUUAGUCAAUUUUGCGACAAAGGUUUUUAAGUGAUUUUUUAAGCAUCUCAUUGCAUCAUCAAGGAUAUUCAAAAUGAUAAAACCAUUUUCAUGGGCCAUAGAUGUGAUAAUGUUUAUGCUAUAAAUAUUUCAAAAUAUGAUGGCCAUGAUAGAUGUUUUUCAAGCAUGCAUGAUCAAAGUUGGUUGUGCCAUAGGAGAUUGAGACAUGCUAACAUAGACCUCAUUUCCCAACUCAACAAAGAUGAACUUGUUAGAGGCCUUCCCAAAAUAAUUUUUUAAAAAGAUAAAGUUUGUGAAGCUUGUCAAGUGGGAAAGUAAAUCAAAAACUCUUUUAAAAACAAAAACUUCAUUUCCACAUCUAGGCCACUUGAGUUGUUGCAUAUGGAUUUAUUUGGUCCCUCUAGGACACCAAGUCUUAGAGGAAAUUCUUAUGCAUAUGCUAUUGUGGACGACUUCUCUAGAUACACAUGAGUCUUGUUUUUUAGUCAAAAGAAUAAAGUUUUUUAUGAGUUUUCAAAGUUUUGCAAUAAGAUUCAAAAUGAAAAAGGUUUUUCAAUUACUUAUAUAAGAAGUGAUCAUGGGAGAGAAUUCGAAAAUAUUGAUUUUGAAGAGUAUUGCAAUGAGCAUGGAAUUGACCACAAUUUUUUGGCUCUUAGAACUCCUCAACAAAAUGGGGUAGUUGAAAGGAAAAAUAGAACUCUUCAAAAAAUGACAAGAACCAUACUAAAUGAAAACAACUUACCAAAAUAUUUUUAGGCCAAAACGGUUAACACUUCUUGUUAUGUUUUAAAUAGAGUAUUAUUGAGGCUCAUACUUAAGAAAACUCCCUAUGAGCUUUGGAAAAACAAAAAACCCAACAUUAGUUAUUCCAAAGUCUUUGGAUGCAAUAUUUUAUAAUAAACACCAAAGACAAUCUUGGAAAAUUUGAUGCAAAAUUGGAUGUUGGAAUUUUCCUUGGUUACUCAACUUCAAGUAAAGCUUUUCGAGUUUUAACAAAAGAACCAUGGUUGUAGAGGAGUCCAUCCAUGUUAUUUUUUAUGAAUCUCCAAGAAAGAGAGAGGAUUGAUGAUGAUUUAGGUUUGAAGACCUCUAUAGGAAGAUUGCAAAUCGAAGAUAGAAGACAACAAGAAGAAAAUGGAGAGAAUCCAAAGAAAGAAGGAUCACCAUUGGCACUACCCCCUCAUCAACAAGCGCAAGGUGAAUCAAGUCAAGAGCUUCCUAAAGAAUGGAAGUUUGUCAUCAAUCACCCACAAGAUCAAAUUAUAGGCAAUCCAUCUAGUGGGGUAAGAACUAGAUCCUCUCUUAGAAAUAUUUGCAAUAAUCUAGCUUUUAUCUCUCAAAUUGAGCCUAAAAAUAUAAAUGAUGUUUUAGAUGAUGAAAAUUGGAUAAUUGCAAUGCAAGAAGAGUUAAAUCCAUUUGAAAGAAGUGGAGUAUGGGAAUUAGUACCAAGACCUUCAAAUCAAAGUGUUAUUGGAACUAGAUGGAUCUUUAGAAAUAAAAUGGAUGAAAAUAGCAUAAUUGUUAGAAAUAAAGCAAGAUUGGUAGCCCAAGGUUUUAAUCAAGAAGAAAUGAUAGAUUAUGAAGAAACCUUUGCCCCCGUAGCUAGGUUGGAAGCCAUUAGGAUGCUACUUGCCUUUGCAUGUUUUAAAGACUUUGUUUUAUAUCAAAUGGAUGUGAAAAGUGCUUUUUUAAAUGGUUUUAUAAAUGAAGAAGUAUAUGUUGAACAACCACCCGGUUUUCAAAGUUUCAACUUUCCUAACCAUGUUUUUAAACUUAAAAAGACACUUUAUGGUUUGAAACAAGCACCUAGAUCAUGGUAUGAAAAAUUGAGUAAAUUUCUUUUGAAAAAAAUGUUUUAAAAUGGGAAAAAUUGACACAACUCUUUUUAUAAAAACCAAAGAAAAUGAUAUGCUCUUAGUUCAAAUAUAUAUUGAUGAUAUCAUUUUUGGUGCUACUAAUGUCUCUCUUUAUGAAGAAUUUUCUAAGUGCAUGCAUAGUGAGUUUGAAAUGAGCAUGAUAGGAGAACUCAACUUCUUCCUUGGACUUCAAAUCAAGCAACUAAAGGAAUGAACCUUCAUCAAUCAAGCAAAGUAUAUAAGAGAUCUUCUCAAAAGGUUCAACAUGGAAGAAGCCAAAACAAUGAAGACUCUAAUGAGCUCAUCCAUUAAGCUUGAUAAGGAUGAGAAAGGUAAAUCCAUUGACUCUAUUAUGUAUAGAGGCAUGAUAGGUUCUUUGCUCUAUUUGACCACUAGUAGACCUUACAUUAUGUAUAGUGUGUGUUUGUGUACUAGAUUUCAAUCUUGUCUUAAAAAAUCUCACUUAAGUGUCGUGAAAAGAAUCCUCAAAUAUUUGAAAGGGACAAUGGACAUAGGCUUAUGGUAUCCUAAGAGUGAUAACUUUGAAUUAAUUGGUUUUUUGGAUGCUGAUUUUGUCAGUUGUAGGGUUGAAAAAUAAAACACUAGUGGCACUUUUCAUUUCUUAAGACACUUACUUGUCUCAUGGCAUAAUAAGAAGCAAAAUUUGGUAGCUUUGUCAACAGCAGAAGCUAAAUACAUAGCAACUGGUUUAUGUUGUGCACAAAUCCUUUGGAUGAAAUAAACACUUAGUGAUUUUGAUUUAUCUUUUGAGCAUAUUCCUAUUAAAUGUGAUAAUAGUAGUGCCAUAAGUAUAUCAAAAAAUCUCGUGCAACACUCUAGGACUAAGCAUAUAGAGAUUAGACAUAAUUUUCUUAGAUAUCAUACACAAAAGGAUGAUAUAACACUUGAAUUUGUAAGCAUAAAAGACCAACUUGCCGAUAUCUUUACAAAACCUCUAAGAACAUUUUGUUGAUAUUAGAGGACAAUUAGGAGUGAUUUCUUUAUGAUCUAAUGUGAUGAAUUCUUGAUGAAUAUACUUUUUGAUUGCAUGAAUUUCAUGUCAUAUAUGCAUCAUAUAGAAAUAUACUUAGAUAAUGGUCAAAUUUCGACCAAAAAUCAAAAUUCCCAUGGCAUUAGGCAUAAAAAUUUUGGAAUUUCAACUGAAAAUGGUAGGAGGAGGAUCACAAAAUGAGAAAGUAUGCAAAAAUUGAAAAAUCAAAACGUUGACCAAGCGGUCAAUCGGACUAGACCGAUCGACUAGUUUGUCGAGAUUUAGGAUUUUUAAGAGACUCCAACGCUUCAAUUUUUGCACCGUUCUCCUCUAUUUCUUCACGGUUUCUCUGAUUUUGUCUUUUAGAGACUAAUUUGAGUGCGUUUUGGAUCAAUUGAAGCAUUUUGGAUUGGAUUUUAGGAAGAUUGAAAGUUAAGGUUUCGGAUUUGGGUCGCCUUCUCUUCCUCUCGCGUGUCACAAUCAGCUUUAGCAUUGUUCUCUUUCCAUUUUCACACACCUAGGGUUUCAGUUGUGAGCAUCUCUCUCUCUUUACCAACCACUACUCCCUUGCUUCUUCCAUAUGGCUCCUAGGCGAGAGUCCGCUACUUCUAGGGCACAAGGCAAGCACCCAACUGAGUCGUCUCAGUCAAAGGCACGUCGAAAAGUGAGAUUUGACAUUGCCUUGUUCAGUUCCAUGGAGGACUACCAACUAUACAAGCAACACUUUGCUUAGAGACGAGUAGUUCCCAAGAGAAAUAUUAAUUUUCCUCAACUUCAGCAUUUCGAAUUUAAGGGUCUAUUUACUAGGAUGGUUGGUUGUCUAUUGUCACAAUUUCGGAGCCGGUUUUCCUGACCUUAGUGCGAGUUUUUUACUCGAGGGCGACUUAUGGCAUGGGUGGCAUGAUCAUUUCUACUGUUGGAGGAGUUGAGAUCUGUCUGGACCCAGAGAGCAUCUGCCAUAUUUUCGAUAUUGCUCUGGUUGGACUCAAAGUAUACAAGUCCAAAAUGUGGCCCAUUGUGCCAGGAUUUGAGCUUAGAGAGGUCAUUCAGAGGAUUUGUGAACUUCCAGACGCCCAGGAGAUGGGCAAACCAUUGCCACACAGUUUGACGGUCAUCAACAGGGUGCUACACCAUAUAUUGUGCUCUAUCUUUCUACCACGAAGUGGACAUUGAGAUGAGGUCUCUUAUUAUGAGGCAUUCCUUAUUGACUCCAUUCUAACGGAGAGACGAAUUCAUCUACUAUGUCAUCAUUCACUAAGCCUCCUCACAGUGACAUACCACCUCAUCAGGCACCUCUUGCUCCUGACCAUGCUCCAUUGAUGGAUUUAUUUACUCAUAUUAGCUCUCUAGGCACUCGCAUGAAGGAGUUUGUUGUAGUUAGUGAUACAUGGUUCUACUCCAUAGAGGAUCGCAUGGAUCAGUAUCAGACUGGCUUCACGUCACAGUUUGAGUAUCUCCAAUAGAGGAUUGAGCAUAUUGAGGAUCACUUGAGCAUGAGAAGAUGAUGGCUUUUCUAUGCUCUGUGUUUCCACCUCCACCUCGUCAACCUUGAUUUCUUAGAGACCCAUUGUUUUCAUUUUGUAAUGUUGCCAAAAGGGGGAGAUAUUUAGGAUCUAGGACUCUAUAGGAGACUUACAUGCAUAUCAUUUUCAUAUCAUUGUUUGGAUCGUACAUAUUGGAUAGUGAUACUUUUUACUUAUAUAUGAUAUGCCUAUAUGUUUCAUGUCUUACAUUGUUUCUUAUUGCAAAUUAUCUCUAACAUGUCUUGAUUAUCUUUUUUUUAACUUCAUAAAUUUUGAUUGUUAACCCAUGAUUGGUUUGAGGGGAAGAUUCUUCUUCUCCUAGAUAACCAAGGUUUGUCAUCAUAAAAAAAUUGGAGAUUGUUAGCCCAAGGGUUCUCCUAAUCAUGUUUUGAUGAUAACAAACCAUGCUUAAGUUACUAAUUGGUUUGAAUUAUAAAGAAUUUCAAGUGUUAAUUUGAAAAUUCAUCAAAGAACCUAAUGGAUGCAAGAUCAAGAUUUUUGGAAGACCUUUAAUCAUAAGAAACAUAUGUAAGAUGAAUGCAUGGGUGCACUUAAGAUUUGCAUAUCAUUUCAUGCAUAUUUGGAAAACACGGUUUAUGCUUUAAAGUUACAUUUCCAUCAAAAUUUGAGAUCCAUCAAAUGAACCUUAGGAAAAAUGUUUUAAAAUUGGCAUAUAAUUUUACCUAAAGACCUUGCCUAAGUGUUAGAAGCAAAAGGACAAAAAAAAUAUAGGUUUUCUGGUCAAAAAUGGUGAACCAGUCAAGGCAUUGUCUAAAUCAGCUCAAUCGGCCAAGGUACCGGUCGAUCGGUUUCCCUUUCCCUGUCGAGAUCUAGUCAAGAGGUACAAAAAUCACAAUCUCUGUCUCUUUCUCUCUUUGUCUAUCUUCCAGUAGUCUUUCCUUCCCGGUCGAGGGAUUUGCCUUCCCGAUUGAGGUCCGAUUGAGAGUAAUAGUCACUUGCCAAAUAUUAAAUGCUCCAACAGUUAGUGAACUGGUCGACCCCCACCUUGCCCAGUUGAGGUUACUUUUUGGUUUUCUUGGCUCCCGAUGUUAGAAACCUAUAAAUAGAGAGUUCCACUUCAUUUAUGAGCAAGAGAACACUUGCAUUUAUUUGUUUACCUACUUGUUCUUGCCUUAAAAGCUCUCAUUUCUUUUCUUGGUGCAUUAAAUCUCCAUUUUGAUAUCCUUUAGUGCACCUUUGUGAUUCAUCUUAGCCUUGAGUUGUAUUUGAGCCCUUUUUUUAGCUAGGUUGAGAGUUUCAUACUUGUUAAUUGAGUGUUAAAGCCUUCAAGUGAGUUGAAACUUGUAGAGAUUAUGUGAGAGUCGAUUGGAGCCGAAAUCCAAGUGUAAAGGUGAUUAGAAGCUUGGUUGAAGCUUCAAGUUAGUGGAAUCCUCACUCAAUUAGGAGCUUGAGGAGAGUGGACGUAGCCAAGGAAGUGUCGAACCACUAUAAAAUUUGAGUUUGAUUUCUCUAACAUUGUCUCUUUAUAUUUGUUUAUCUUGUGCUUAAAUUUAUUGUGUUUAAAAAGAAUUUUUAAAUACCCAAUUCACCCCCCUCUUGGGUGUUUUUCUCUUUUAAAAUUAGCCUUUAUUUUCUCACAAACUAUUGUAGUAUAGUGGUUUUUAGGUGUCAUCCAUUAGGAUGAAUUGUUCUCGGUAAUUAAGGCGUGAAUGAGAGGAGAAUUAAUGAUUGUGAUUAAGUAAAAUUGAUUUGAAAAUUCAUGGUGAAAAAUCAAUUUAACAAUGGUUUCUAAUUGAGAAAAACAAUGAAAUGUGAAAUAAAAUAAAAUUAAUAGGAAAUGAAAUUCUCGAAGUUAGAAUUUUCUAAAAAACAAAUUCCAUGGUGAAUGGAUGUUGAGAUCUAAUUUUCAUCAAGUUAGAUUGAAAACCGAAAUUUUCAUAUAAACUGAUUUUUUAUUUAGUUUUAGGUCUAGAUUUAAUUUCCCUUAAAAUUAGGUUAUUUAAUCCAAGAAAUCAAUUCAAAUCAUAUAUUCAAUUCAUCUUAAAUUAUCUUCCAAUUAUUCACACAAUGCAACUAUUCAAUCUCAUCAAAUCUAGCUUUUAAGAAUUUAAUGAAUCUACCUAGUUUGCAUUGUAAUAGUCAUCCAUGACAAUUUGAAGAGAAAAAUAAUUCAAUUAAUCAAUCACUUGGAUCAAAUUACCUUUGCAAUUAAAGUUCAUUUCUCUAAUUCACCACAGAUUUUGUCUCUAGAUCCUCCUUUCUCAAAGAAAAAUGAGAUUUAGCCACACAUGAUUGGAGAUUUGGUCUCAUAAGGCAUGUUUAGCUAGUGAUAAAAUGAGAGAAAAUAAAGAAAAAUAGAGAAUUCGAUUAAGAAAGAAAAUCUAAAAAAUUCUACAAUUAGAAAUGUCCAAAAAGCUUUUUCAUGAGAAAAUCAAGUUUCUAUUUAUAGGCCAAGGUCAAGUGGACACUUGACAUCAUCUAAGAGGUCUUCCGGAAGCUUCUUCAUCAAGAAAUCUGGAGUUUAAUAAUAAAAUGGUCAUUUCACAAGAGCUCAAACAAUUUCGCAUGAUUAUGUGAAAUAAAAAAUGCAACAACAGCAAUUUACAUCUUCUUGGAGCAUUUCGCAUGACUGUGUGAAAUUUUCACAUGAUCAUGUGGAAUCGACUUGACAACUCUCAUUUAGCCUACAACAUAAUUCCACCUUUUGGUCCAUUUUUCAUAGUCAUGCGAAAUGGAAAUAUUUGAUUUUUAAGUUUUCUUUUGUCAUUUCUUUCAUUUCCUUCUCUUGAUUCCACUUCAACUACCUCCGAAUCCUGGUCCAAACCAAUUGCAUUACUUCUUUCAUUAUGCAUUUGGAUCAUCAUCAACAUUAUUUGUUCUCUUCAAUUUGAUUCAUCUCUUUUGUCACCAAUUUAUCAAAAUCAUACCUUGAAAUGACUCCAAAACUUCAUAAAACUUGUUAGUAACUCUUGCAAGGGCAACAACAUAUUAAUUAAGUGUUUUAGGCAUAGUUACUACUCAAAAGAUGCGAAACUCAUGAUAAUUAUUAUAUAAAAUAUGCUCUUUUUGAGUAGUAAUCAACUUUCUUGCAUAAGCAGACCUUUUAGGGUGGAGUACUAAAGACCAAUAUGCUUGUCCUUGUUGUAAUAAAGAAACUUGCUCUUAUUGAUUGCACCAUGGGAGAAAAUUUUGCUACAUGAGUUAUCAUCAAUUUCUUCCCACCAAUCAUAGAUUUAGACGUGACAAGAGGCCUCUUAAUGGCAAGGAGGAACUGACACUCACACUUAUACAAUUAUCGGGCAUUGAUGUGUUGCAACAAUUAGAAUAACUUACACCAAUUAUGUUGGGGAAGUCACAAAAGGCAAACAUGAAAACUAAAAGGAAAAAAGAAAAAUGUUACAUAUCACCACAACUGGAAAGAAAAAAGUAUUUACUUUCAUUUGCCAUAUUGGAAAGCACUUAUUUUACAUCAUAAUAAUUUAGACAUAAUGCAUAUUGAGAAAAAUGUGUGACAAUAUAAUUGAGACAUUGUUCAGUAUUGACGAAGAAACAAGGACAACCUAAAUAGUCAUCUCGAUUUACAAGCUCUAACUAUUAGAAAUGAGAUUCACCCAAUAGAAAGCAGGACCAAAUUUAUUUUGCUUGCAACAUGCUACUCACUCACCCCAAAUGAGAUUAAGGAAUUUUGCAAGUUUUUGAAAUCAAUAAAGGUCCCCAAUGGCUAUUCUUUCAAUAUCUCUCGUUAUGUGCAACUCAAUGAAAGGAAGAUAUAUGAGCUCAAAUUGUAUGAUUGUCAUGUCCUAAUGCAACAACUUCUCUCACUUGUAGUUCGUGGAGUUCUACAUAAGAAUGUUUGUGGAGUUAUCAUAGAAUUGCGUAAUUUUUUCAAGCAAUUGUGCUCAAAGGUGUUAGAAACAAAUCACUUACACCAACUUGAGAACAAUAUUAUUGUCAUACUAUGUAAAAUGGAGCAAAUAUUUCUUCCAUCAUUCUUUGAUAUUAUGGUGCAUUUACUUGUGCAUCUAGUAAGGCAAAGGUUGCAAGACUUGUGCAAUAUUGUUGGAUGUACCUAAUUGAACGAUAUUGUUAUAAUUUCAUAUGAAUCAUUUAAUUUUAUUUUAUAUUAUGUUCAGUUCAUUAACAUGUACAUUGGUCUACAUAUGGAUGAUGAUAGGUACCUAAGCACUUUAAAGUCAUAUGUGCGUAAUAGAACUUUUCUAGAAGGUUCUAUUGUAGAAAGGUACCUUGCAAAAGAAUGUACAACAUUUUAUUCUAGGUACUUGAAUGAUGUGGAAAUAAAGUAUAAUCACAAUGAUAGAAACUUUGUUGGUUUCAACACUAGAGGAGAUGAAAGGGGUUAUCUUUAAACAUAUUGGACAUGCAUUGGGAAAGCCCAUAUUUCAUUAACUUAGUUCAAAAGAGUGGUCACAAGCACAUUUAUAUGUGUUGACAAAUUGCGAAGAUGUCAUACCAUUCAUUGAGUAAAAAAUUUAUUUGAAUUUUAAUUAAAGCUCUAGUUUAUAUCCUUAAUCAAUGUUUUUUAAAUUCACAAGGAGCACAAGCAAACCAUCAAGGCUAGACCACAUAUACGUGUUUGAGACGUAGAUUUAAUUCAUAACAAGGAAUUUAUCAAGUGGUUUGAAAGACAUGUAAGUAUAUUCCUUAUUAUAAGGGAUUUAUUUCACAUUAUGUUUAUAUUGAAUCCAAACCUAUUAUUGAAUUGUAGGUUGAACAAUUACAUAAUGAAGGUCAUAUAUCUGAACACCUUCUCACAUUAUCAUGUGUUCCAAAUUCAUUAGUUACAUGCUUCAAAUGAUAUAUUGUCAAUGGAUUUAGAUCCCACAUUAAAGAACGUGAUAAAAAAGUUUUUAAAAAAAGACUCAGAAUAAUGGAAUUGUUGUAGUUGCAAAAACGUCAAGCUUUACAAGUGCAUGUGAUAUGAGUCCAAUUAUUAGUGAUGCUCUCUACUAUGGUGUUCUAACUAAAGUUGUUGAGUUACAUUAUCUUGGUGAAAAUAAGGUUGUUUUAUUCGAGUUUGAUUGGUGGGAUGUUACAAAUAUUGGAAAAUUGAUAAAAGAUGAUGAGUACAAUUACACAUUUGUUAACUUUGCAUGAAUUCUAACCACGAACGAACGAUUUGUACUUGCAUCUCCAGCAAAGUAAGUGUUCUAUGUGAAGAAUGCGAAUGAAUCAGAUUGGCAUACUAUCAUGGAGAUGCAACCUCAAGACCUCUAUAAGAUGAACGGGAUAGGAUCCAAUGGUGAUUUUGAACCAUUUCAACAAAGUGAACUACAUGAUCACUAAUAUAUCUCAGAUUUAGUUGAUGAAGAUAUAAUCAAGUGGAACAAAAGUGAUGUUUUAGGACUAAUCAUCCUAAAAAAUAUUGUAGUUUCUUAAAAAAAAAAUGAAAAUGAAGAAGAUAAUUGAACCUUUGUCAUACUUUAAAAAGCAACUAUGCAUUGUUCAUUUUGUAUGUUUUGGUUUUCUUCAUUUAAUUUCCUGAUUUUUGUGAUUCAAUGUCAUAUUAUUGAUCUUGAAAUAUUUUUCUAAUUUUUCAUUCUACGAUGGUUUCAACAAGGAUGACAUCAAGUCAAAAAAGGAAAUGUGGUCCCACACACAAUAUUGCAUUACAGGGAUUAAGGUCAGGGAAGAAGGUAAAAGUUGCAUUUAAUGAGUACAAUCAAUUGGUUAAACAGAAAAAUGGAAAACACUUAUCGAGCUACAUAGGGACACUUGUAUCUAACCAACACAAUGUACCUCUCCAAGCUAGUGAUUGGAAAAAUGUUCCAAAUGAUGCAAAAGAGAAAGUAUGGCCUUUGUUUUGGUAUGUUGUAUUUCUCACUAUAUGAUGUCAUUUCACUGUUAUUCUAUUUUGUGACUAACGUUUGAAUCAUAUGUAAGAAAAAUUUGAAGUAGAUAAAGACUGAAAAGAUUACAUGUUGGGUAUAGCCUCAAAUAAAUAUAGAAGCUAUAAAAAUAUGAUGAAUGCAAAAUACUAUGACCCUUGGCAUAAGGAUGCAUGAGGAGAGGUUAAUACAUAAAUCACCAUUUGUCUCUGAUGUUGAUUGGAAGUGGCUUGUCUCUGAUGCAUAAACCAAAUCCCCCACUGAAUGUUUGAUAUUUGAUAGCAGGAAAAACACACCCGCAGCUAUACACCUCCAUCAUUCAGAUAAUUAUAGUGGGGGAGAUGAUUCAUGGUUGCCCUUAUACCCUUUAUUUGCACCAUCUAUUGAGAUUCUUUAUCAUGGCCAGGUUUUACUGCAGCAAUAAGAUAUGGUGGCAACAAUUUUAUCUAUAGGUGCGGUUCCAGACCGCCUCCAUAGGUGCGGUUCCUGACUGCCUCCAUAGGUGCCUCUUCUUGUAAUGUUUGUUCUGGGAAUUACACUUGAAAGCCUUAUCGUGAUAAGGGAUUACAAACACUAGUUCAGAGGACAGCCAUGUUAAACUUCCACUAUGUUUGUGUCACAUUAUCAGCAGCCUAGUGUUUAUUGGUCAUGCUAUCUGCAACUAAUAUAACCCGGUGAACUUCAAUCUAAAUUCUGAAAGUACUCAUGUGACAGAUGGUGCCUUUCAGCAGAUAUCAUCAAUUUAAAAGUAGUGUGUGUGCCUAUAGGUGGGAAGGCCUUGGCAAAUGUUCAGUAUUCCGGUAAUUCAAGAAGGAUAUAUCUAAAAUAGAUUUUCUUCUUGCCCAUUUCAAUAGUUAAAAUUUGAGAAGAUUGUGUCCACAUCACACAAAUAUUAUUGGUCCUUCUGUUGCAAUUUACCUCUGAACAUGUCUUCCAAUUCCCACGGUCCUGUUACUCCAGGAAAACUAUUUCGGUCAUAUUGAAAAAAAAAAUAUUAAAGAAGGUACACAUGCUUUUAAGUGGACUGGGGCAUUCAUAUCAGGUGGUCUGUAUCCACAUAUGCCACUUCGUGAAAGGUGGAACAGCCUAAUCACUAGGCUAUUUAGUGUGGCCCAGCCACGUUAAUCAAGCACAAGUCUUCAUACUUAAAGUCAAAUGGUGUCUUUAGUCUCAUUACACAUCGCUAUUUGAAGAUUAACUCAUCACUAGUGUAAUGCGAUUAAGACAGUCCUAACUCAAUAUUUGUUCUAGUUUUGGAUGCAAAUGCUUGCUGGUUUCAUCAUUGGAUGGGAUAAAGGUGCAAUCAGGACUAUGAAUACGUGCAGUAAUACUUCAUUCUCUUUUUUCUCAAUGAGACUUCUUGGCACAAUUUUGCUGCUCAGCAACCUACCUUUCCAUGGAAAAUCAGUUGUGACUGAUAGUAAUGGAUAUAUUCUAGAAAGCUAAACAUAGAUAGCAUUCAAUAUUAUCGAUAUAACAUUAACAGCGUAUGUCUCAAUGCUCAUCAGCUACAAGCAAUGGACAAACACUUUGAGUAACUCACAGCAGUCAAAAUUCCUAAACAGGACAGACGUGACAGAUCUAUAUAUAGAACACUGCAUAUGAGUCACAGGAAAAGAUAAUACGGGUACAUAGAAGCUCUUAUUUUACAUAUUACUCAUACUGAUCAAAGUCGCUCAGUUGGGAUGGAUGGGAGAAGGAGGUUUGAGGGGUGGCUUGUGCGGGGAAGUUGGCAGCUUCUUUCCGGGAGCUGGUUGCUUCUUUGCUGGAGUUGAAGGAGGCUUAAUCUUCCGAGGUGGCUUGUAUGAGUCUUCAGCAUUCUCAGCAGGAGGGUGACCAGGGUUGUGACCAUAAUGUGGUGGCUUCUCUCCCUUAGGUGGUUUGCCAACUGGGGUUGGUGGCUUGUUUUCUGGGAGUGGCUUCUCUCCCUUGGGUGGUUUGCCAACUGGGGUUGGUGGCUUGUGUUCUGGGAGUGGCUUCUCCCCCUUGGGAGGUUUUUCGAAUGGGGUGGGUUUGUGUCCUGGUGGUGGCUUCUCUCCCUUGGGAGGUUUACCAAUUGGGGUCGGUGGCUUGUGUUCUGGGAGGGGCUUCUCUCCCUGGGGAGGUUUAGUGGGUGGCUUGUGUUCUGGAGGUGGCUUCUCCACCGGAGGCUUAUGCUCUGGUGGUGGCUUCUCGAAGGGGGGAUGCUCAGGGUAAUCACCAAGUGAGGGGGUGGUGAGAACCACCAUGCCAAGCAACAACACUAGCAAGUAUGUAGUAGACAUCUUUGGGUUUGGACUCAGACAGUGCAAAACUACGAGAAAUCGCUAGCCCUUUAUAGCGGCUCGGACCUAAUACUGACAUAAUAUAAAAUAAAUAUUAUAUUUUAUCAAGAGAGAACAGAGUGUAAUUUUAUCAUUAAUACCGAUCGAGGCCAAAGAAAGAAGACCCAUAAUCCAUUUCCCACAAGCAUACACAAUGCAGCUGUAAUUUUAUCAUUUACUUUUAUCCCUUGGACCACUGCAUUUUUGUUGAGAGACACAAUAACACAUUUUUAUCUGUCAUUCAACAUUUACAGUAAAGAGAGGGCACAAAACGCAAUUAGAUAAAUUAUGUUUUGCCUGCUAAAAAGAGGCAAAUAACUUUAUUUGCAACAUAAUUAUUUUGGUUUCUAGUGACCCCGGGGCCUUUCGGUUGGUUUGGGAUCGGAAAAUGAACAUCAUAGGGGGGGUUGUGCCCUUAUGGGCAUAUAUAUCUGAUAGCUUCAACUGGCCUUGUUCCUAGAAAGAAAUUGCCAAAGAUAUAAACUUAUUCCAGGCUGAAAGUAGAUGAGAGUCAUAAUGAACAUCAACCUUUGUUCAGUUUGAUUCAAUGCCCCCAUAGUGUUCAUUUCACAGAUCUGAAUGAUUAUAUCCGUUGAAUACAUAAAUUAAUGAAGACAAAUAUGAAACCCAAGAUACAUCUCUGCAUAACAACCCCAACCCUGGUUGCUAUGUUUCCCUUCUUCUAUUCACAUGAGGAUACUGGUUAUAAUUGUCAAACUUGCAACAAGCCCUUUGACACCUAACGUCAAUGGACGAAUUAAAAGUCUCCUUCAAACGUCUAUUUCACAGCAUGAAGCUUAUAAAGGAUGCUGACAACCUUCAGAGUUAGCGACAAAAGAUAAUUAUCAAGGAGAGAUAGUUCCAUGAGAAUUCCAAGGAGUCUGAAUCAAAGACAAAUUGCUCACUCAAGGGUUCUUAUUUUCUUUUAGGUACAAAUCUCUUGAGUGUUGUUAAAGAAACACGUCACUGUCAUUUUGAUUUGCAUUUAACAUUUCACUUUUGUUCUGGAAGGUUUGUUCCGGAAACAUAUCAAAUGAGCAUCAUUUUCUUCUUCGGUGACACAUGGUCGCGAGUACGUGGGUCCAUUUUCAUGCCACUUAGUUGAAAAGUUGGAAAGAAAAAACAUGCCAACAAGAAGAUAGUGAGAGAAGGGGCACUUCAAGCCUUUAACAUGAACAAACAGUAAAUAAAAGAUGUUUCUCCACUCAUAAAAGUGUGUUAGAUAGCAAUAUAACGAAUCACAUCCAAAAUCUUUACUAGGCUCAAACAUAAAGAAGACUCAUUUUUAAGAAAAGAUAAAAAUGGCAUUGUCUGAUAGUAUCCAAUACACGAGAUGGCACUUAAUUUGUACAAGAUCUGUCAAUGCUGACGCACAUUUUCUGAUUAAAAAAAAACUGAUCAGUCAAAAGCAAUGAAGAGAAGUGAUGACAAUGAAUGAUGCUUCCAAUAUUUUCACCCCUUAUAGUGUUCUUCAUGAUUCAGAUAUAUAAUUGGAAAUAGAACAACCCUAUGCCAUACAUUCGUCUAAGUAUGGUGUCUAAUUUUUUGUGUCAGCGGUUGCGAAUGGAGCGUGCAAAAGUCCAAAUUGGCGUCUCUCCAUUUCCACAUAGGAAGGUGACCUUUAUUGACAAAUACCCAAUAUUUGUAGACAUUCCUUAAAUAUCAUAACUUCUUGUUGAUUUGAAAAUCAUUUUUCAACUACCAUGUUUUAAUAAAUAUUUUUUAAAAUGUAUUUUUAUCAAAGUCCACCAUGAUGGAUAAUAUUCACCAUGCAAUAAUUAAUAAAGUACAAACUAAGCGAAAUGAAAAGCAUUUUCUUUGCUUUGAGUUGAUUUUGGUUGCAUUGAGUUGAUUUUGGUUUCAUGGUUUUUUCAACUCUUAUUUUGAUUGGAAGAUGUCAAGAAAAGAAAACAUAAAGAAAAAUUAAAAGGGAAAAAAGAAGAAAAAUAAAAAAAAAUAGAUUUAAAAGUUAAUAAAUUAUUUUUUAUAUUUAUUUUAAUUCAUUUCACUUAUUUUUCUUUUACUAUAUAAAAUUUAAAUAAUUUAAAUUUUAUAAUUAAUUUAAUUACAUUUCAUUUUCUUCUAUAUUUAAAUAUUGGAAAAAUAUUUUACUUAAUAUUUUUUUCUUUAAUUUCUUUGGCAUUUUGGGAACCAAACUUAGCCUUUAAAAUAAAAAACAAAAAAAAAAUGAAAAUAAGGAGGGAAAAGUGAGAAAAGAUAAAAACAAUAUGUAAAGGAUUUGAAAAGUAUUAGUUUGUAAUUACUAUUUGGAUUUCAAUAGUAUUUUAUUUGUCUUUCUAUAUUUCAUGUAAGAGAGAAUUUAAGAUAUUCCCCAAGGCAAAGCAUUAGUUACCUGCAAUCAGUGGUGAUAAGGCUCCAAGCCAAUUUUGGGCCCCAUAUCUUAAGACAGUACAAUUUCCAUUUCAACAUUUCUGAUUUCUCAGAUGUUUCACAUACCACAGAAGAACAUUGUUUGUGAAAAUAUGCAUUUAUGUUGGAUUUUGUAUGCUGUGGGGACUGGGGCAAGGAUCAUAUGGAAGAGUGGUUGACUUUUUCUGUACUUUAACGGUUGAAAUAGGAUAAGCACGGGCAUUUGUGAGGCUUAAUUGAUUUUGAAGCCUGAAAUUGCGUUUCUGUCAUUUUGUCAAAAAAAUGGCAGAUUCCAUACUCAUAUGUUUGGCCUGUGGCCAUGUACAGAUGCCAUUUAGUGACCAGUUUGUAACUGUCAAUCGUUGCGUUUUGACUCUGCCUCAACAACAUCUGCCAUUGACGGGUUUUCAUACUUGCAAAUCAAAUAGUCUUUCGUCCCAUCAGGAAUUUCGGUUUAAAUAUUAUUAAGCAUACGUUUGGCUGACAAUCAUUAUCCAGUUCAUGAUUUGGUUUCUUACCCUUAAUCAAUGGUUUCUAAGUGAAUAUAUGUAGAAGGAAAUCCGAAGUGUAGACAGUAGUAUCGAUAACUCUCAAUAUUCUCUAUAUAAUAGAAUAAACAGCGUCAUAGUGAUCGUCGCCUACAAGCAAGGUACAAAUACCAAAACGAGUGACUCACAUAGACAUCUCCCAACAAGAUGUAGUAGUGACUGACACAUGGACACAAUUAACUCGUAGAAAAGGAUAAGACCAUUGCACAGCAGCUCUUAUUUUACAUACUACUUAUGCUAACCAAAGUCAAUUAGUUGGGAUGGGUGGGAGAUGGAGGUUUGUGCGGUGGCUUGUGGGGCGGAGUUGAUGGCUUCUUUCCAGGAGCUUCUGGCUUUUUCAUCGGAGCUGAAGGAGGCUCAAUCUUAUGAGGCGGCUUGUAUGAGUCUUCUUUACUCUCGACAGGAGGGUGGCCAGGGUUGUGAUCAUAAUGUGGUGGCUUCUCUCCCUUAGGUGGCUUGCCAACUGGGGUUGGUGGCUUGUGUUCAGGAAGUGGUUUCUCUCCCAUGGGAGGUUUAGCAAUUGGGGUUGGUGGCUUGUGUUCUGGGAGUGGCUUCUCUCCCUUGGGAGGUUUAGUAGGUGACUUGUGUUCUGGAGGUGGCUUCUCCACCGGAGGCUUGUGCUCCGGUGGUGGCUUCUUGGUUGGAGGGGGCUUGGGGUAAUCAGCAAGAGAUGGGGUGGUGAGAACCACCAGUCCAAGGAACAACACUAGCAAGUAUGUGGGAGACAUUUUUGAGUUUGGGCUGAUCAGAUGAUGCAAAACUAAAGCAUUACGUGACCUUUUAUAGCAUGUAGCUCCCAAUACCCACUAAGUAUUGUGGGGUCCAUUUGUGCCCUACGGGGUUGAAAACUUAGACAAUUGGGCAAGGACCCACCUGACUAUGGAGGACUAGUGAGGUGUGAUCAUAGCUUUAGGAUUUUUCUUCCUCUGCAGCCGUCGUGCCGUUGGCAUGAUUUUCUUAAUCUUAAAUAAAGGCAUAGUUAUAGAGUUGUUUAAUCUCUAAAUGGGAUUUUAUAUAUAUCUUCAGAUAGCCAUUAAUAUAUUUGAUGAAGAAAGAAAGACAAGUGCAUACAACAUGUAUACGACUAGCUUUCAUGGAGUUCAUUUAUGAUCAGUUUUCCUGUACAUGUAAACCAGGAUCAUAUAUAUGUUUCUGUUCCACAACUAUUUUGGAAUCUUGUUUAUCAGUUUUUAUCAUUAUAAUGUCACAUAGGCUGCCAACUUGGGCGCUAAAAGAACCAGUUGGGCUAGUUCGUUUCAGAAUUUCAAUGUGGAUUCAGGAAUUGUUUUGUAAGAUAUGCGAAAUAGUAGAGGGAUGAAUAGUGUUUCAUUAAUAAAAGUGUCCUGUAAAUUAGAAGGUGUCAUAGAAACUAUAAUCAAUAAAUAACUUUUUUUCCCCACGGGUGGUGUUUCUUGUGGGGAUCAGUGACUGGUUUAGGUUCACCCAAAAUGAGUUCAGACUAAAAUUGGUUUGAGUCAAUGCCGUGUCUCUUUUUUCCAGAAAUCAACUAUUUUAUGCAUUGAAUAAAUCAUACAAAGAAAAUAUGAACGCCCGCAAAACCUAAACCCUGGUUGCUAACUUUCUAUGUUUCAGUUCUAUUCACGCAAGAAUAUUAGUUUAAGUUUGGGAAAAAUGGCAACUUACCUAGUGAUUACUUGGUUUUGGUUUGCGACUAUUUACGCAACCAACCAUGAGUUUGACUUUAACGUCAUGGGUUGAAGCCUCCUACAGGAAGGGAGAAAGCUCCACAGCUAGCUCCAAAAGAGAAUUAUCACAUUGAUAGCUCCAGAGAUUCCCAAGGGGACUGAAUCAAAGACAAGUUCCUCACUUUUUCUUCUUUUGAGGCCAAAUAUGAACCAAGGAUCACACAACCUCAUUCAACUUCAUAAGUUUGAUUUCAUGCAGUUGAACACUGGGUGAAGGCCAUGACAAGAAUUGAUUCAAAAAUUCUAUCACUCUUUUAAGUAAUGGAAGAUUAUUAUCUCUGAUUGGCAUCACAACAGCACAUGCUCCUAGAUCUUUCUAGACACUCCAUGCAAUGAAAGCACAAUGGAUCUUGUAACGAUAGAAACUAAGCCAUGCUACAGUACUAGAUGAUGAGGUAAAACUAGUAGACACGGGUGGCAGCCUAUAUGGGAGGGACACAAGUCUAAUUGAUUUGCAUUUCAGCAUUAUAGAUAGGUAUGUUUUGGAAGAUUUGUUCUGGAAAUACCGCACCAAGUAGGAUUCUUUUUCUCUUUAGUGGGUCCACUUGCAUGCCAAUUAACGAGUUGAAAAGUAUGAGCACCUACCUCGUGCUCGUGGAACCGAAGGUCAGUGAAGUGGGGCUCCUUUUGGCCUCGUGUAAACUUGAUUCAGAAGUGAAGUUAAUAGUCUUCCAUUCAGAUGGAUACAUGGGAAUUUUUCUCUUUUAUUUAUUUAUUUAUUUUUUUUUUGUGUGUGUAUGUCAAAGGAUAAUGAAUGAAGCGCGUUAGCUUGUUUUCUGACUGGAACCGCAGAUGUCCAAAUUGGAGUUCCUUCAUUUCUUACUUAGGAUUGUUACAUGUAUAAACAAGGUAUAAGAAAUAUGCCAACGUGUCUUGAGGAGUUAUUGAUUAGAAAUAACAAGUCACCCGACUGUAGAGUUCCAAGAUUUGAAUCUUCAGACCCUAUAGCAGCCUCUGGGGUACGUGGCAUCCUAUAGCAUAUUAAUGAAGGCUUUUUCGAUUUAGACUUCACAAUACCAAUUAAUAUGUAUGCACAAAAUGGAGAUGACCCCAAAAAAAACAGAAUCGCCAUAGUUUAUGAGGUUAAGGUGAUUCUCCACUUAAUAUCUACAUUAGCUAAUUAUGUAAAUCAAAUGAACUUCUAUUUUUCCUUUUUUUUUUUGGUUUAUGUCAAAUAGUAGCCCAUAAUUAACCCAACCAUUAGCCUGUUUGAAUUGAUUUCACAUGCACAAUGUUGUAGUAGUUCAUAUUUUGAAUUUUAUUUUUACAAAGGUAGUUAAGGAAAAUGAAGUAUAAUAAUUAUAAAAGCAGACUAUAUACACUACAAUAAUUGUUAGAAUGGUAUCUCAAAUUCUAAUUUAAAAUAUUAUUUUUUGUAAAAGAAAUAUUAUAUAGAAUAUUUCCUAAUUUUAUAAAUGAUUAUAAUUAGAUCUUUAUAAAAUAAGGAAAGUUGGUAAGAAUAUCUUUAUAAAUAUUUUAGGUCAUGAGAGAAAGAAAUGGGAUAAAAAUGUGAUGAAGAGGUGAAAUAAGAGAGUUGAUUAGGAUAUAGAUGUGAAGAAGAAAGGGAUUCAAUAUAUAUAUAUCUUUCAAUUACCACAUUAAAACCCUGUGAACCUUUUAUAUGGUUUACUUUAUUUUUAUAUUCCUCCUUUAAUAUAUUUACAUUAAUGCUUCCAUUGGCACAACAAUAACGAAUUACAAAUACAAGCAACAAGUCCCAUGUUUUAUUACCAAAAGCAGGUAAAAUCCACCUAAUAUAUUACAAUAUAUUCAUCCAAUAUUUUAGACCAAUUCUUCACCAUAAAUAUCAUAAUGUGGCUUUUGUUCUUUCUUAAAUUUAAAUUGAAUUGUCUUAUAUCAAUUUGUUUGUGAUUUUUUCAUUAACUUCACUUUCAUUUGGUUAUCUUUGGUUUUUGAAAAGUAUUAAGGAAUUAAUUAACAAAAUAAUGUUAAGAAAAAUAAUUUUCUCUCUUUUGAUUUUGAUUUUGUAGUAGAAAAAUAUAAUUAAAAUUAUUUAAAAAGUAUGUAAUUUUAAAUUAUUUAAUAUUUAGAUAAAAAAAAUAAGUCUAAUGAGUUUAAAAUAACAUAUAAAAAUAAUUUAUUUAUUUUAAAUUUAUUUUUUAUUUUCCAUUAUGUUCUCUUUCUCUUUUACUUUUUCAUAUUUUUUCUUACGAAGAAUCAAACACAACCUCAUAUUAUAUGUCAAGUGUUUGUCUAUAUUUGAGCAAUGUUAGAUACGGCCAUGGAUUCAUCAAACUAAACUGAUUUUAAUAGAUACUUCACAAAUUGAUUUAUACACUAAAUCAUUGGAUAGCAAUGAUGCAUUGGAAUUAAACGUAGGAUGAAGCUCGAAGAACACUGUUUGUGUAACAACAUAUUUAUGAAAUUAUGCAAAGGAUGAGCUUCGGGGUAGUAGUACAAGGUCAUUAAUGGAGAGCCGUGUUAAACCUUGAUUGUGAUUGGAUUCCGUUAUCAGCAACAGCAACCUUGUUUGUAACCUUGAAAGUCAUUCUGUCCACAUCGAAACUCCAAUUUGACGUUUGUAAUUACCAUUCCUGGAGUGUUCCUUGAUUGAAAUUUAAAUAAUAAUUGCGGCCCACAAGGAAUAUUUUCGAUUCUGUGGGAAUUUGACAAGGUUUGUUAGAGAAGACUGGUGACAUGUUGACUUCAAUGGUUCAAAUAGGAGACGUAUGUGGAUUUGGGGGGUUUAAUUGAAACUGAGUCCCUAUGGCUUUUUAAUAUUUGCAUUGAGCAGUCUCCAUGUGACUUCCUAAUUCCCACCAACCCUCCUGUCCAUGCUGUGAAACUAAAUUGUAAUUUAUCAGCCUUUGUCAAUGGUUUCUAAAUUAAAGAUAUAGACCAUGCAUGUACUUUAAUAAAAGCAAAUCUAAAGUGUAGAUAGCAGCAAUGGUGACACCCAAUAUUCUCCAUAAAAUAGAAUUAGAAUAAGCAGUGUUACAUUGUUCAUGAUCACCUACAAGCAUACAAGAACUUCCAUGAAUAACUCAUAGCAAUUGCCAACAGGGCGUCGUAGAGACUCAUACAUAGAACACUAUCCACCCAGAGGAAAGGACAAGACCAGUGCGCUGCAGCUCUUAUUUUUCACAUGUAUACCACCACUCGUAAUAACCAAAUUCACUCAGUUGGGAUAGGUGGGAGAUGGUGGUUUGUGGGGUGGCUUGUGGGGAGGAGUUGGAGGAGGCUUUAUUUUCUGAGGCGGCUUGUAUGAGUGUGCAGGAGGAUGCCCGGGAGUGUGACCAUAAUGUGGUGGCUUCUCUCCCGUAGGUGGUUUGCCAAAUGGGCUUGGUGGCUUCUCUCCCUUAGGAGGUUUACCAAUUGGGGUUGGUGGCUUGUGUUCUGGGAGUGGUUUCUCUCCCUUGGUAGGUUUGCCAAUUGGGGUUGGCGGCUUAUGUUCUGGGAGUGGCUUCUCUCCCUUGGGAGGUUUGCUAAUUGGGGUUGGCGGCUUAUGUUCUGGGGGCGGCUUCUCUCCCUUGGGAGGUUUGCCAAUUGGAGUUGGCGGCUUAUGUUCUGGGAGUGGCUUUUCUCCCUUGGGAGGCUUGCCAAUUGGGGUUGGCGGCUUAUGUUCUGGGGGUGGCUUCUCUCCUUUAGGAGGUUUGCCAAUUGGAGUCGGCGGCUUAUGUUCUGGAAGUGGCUUUUUUCCCUUGGGAGGUUUGCCAAUUGGGGUUGGCGGCUUAUGUUCUGGGGGUGGCUUCUCUCCCUUGGGAGGUUUGCCAAUUGGAGUCGGCGGCUUAUGUUCUGGGAGUGGCUUCUCUCCCUUGGGAGGUUUUGUUGGUGGCUUGUGUUCUGGAGAUGGCUUCUCCCCUGGAGGCUU
rnacentral:lncRNA from 1 species